rnacentral:rRNA from 1 species
UACGUAGGGUGCAAGCGUUAAUCGGAAUUACUGGGCGUAAAGCGUGCGCAGGCGGUUCGCUAAGACAGAUGUGAAAUCCCCGGGCUUAACCUGGGAACUGCAUUUGUGACUGGCGGGCUAGAGUAUGGCGGAGGGGGGUAGAAUUCCACGUGUAGCAGUGAAAUGCGUAGAGAUGUGGAGGAAUACCGAUGGCGAAGGCAGCCCCCUGGGCCAAUACUGACGCUCAUGCACGAAAGCGUGGGGAGCAAACAGG